AUGCCCAAGCGCACCAUGGGAGGGAGGGCCGACGCCGGGGACGACGCCACGGUGUCACCUAUGCCGGAGCAGGUGGCUCCUCCGCCGGAGCAGGUGACUCCUCUUCCAUGCCAUCUGCCUCCUCUGCCACACCAUCUGCCUCCUCUGCCGCAGCCCGUGGUCAACGUCGACGGUGACGACGACGAAGAGGUAGCUGCUCUGGCUCCUCAGACAGAGCAGGUGUCUCCUCUGCCGCGGGUGACGCCUCCUGUGCCCGAGCCUGUGGUCGUCGGCGAUGUCAACAAAGAAGACAUUACUCAACCGAGUGUUCGUCUGCCGCGGUUGUUGCCUCCCCUGCCCCCACCUGUGGUCGUCGCCGACGAGAACGAAGAAGAGGUUUUCUCUGGUCGGUACAAGGCAAAUAAGGUCCUAAGUGACGACGUUGACAGCGACCCAGAAACCCAGAGGAUCUUUAGGAGGCAGAAGGUGAGGCAGCUGGACAGUGGUGAGCUCGAGAAAGCUGUGAGGCCUAGAUUCGGAAACGGCUACGGAUGA
rnacentral:rRNA from 1 species